rnacentral:rRNA from 1 species
GACGAACGCUGGCGGCGUGCUUAACACAUGCCAGUCGAACGGAAAGGCCCUACUUUUGUGCGGUGCUCGCGUGGCGAACGGGUAAGUAACACGUGAGUAACCUGCCCUUCACUUUGGCAUAACUUCAGGAAACUGGGGCUAAUUCCGGAUAUGCGCUCCUGCUGCAUGGUGGGGGUUGGAAAGUUUCGGCGGCUGGGGAUGGACUCGCGGCUUCUCAGCCUGUUGGUGGGGUAGUGGCUUACCAAGGCGUUGACGGGUAGCCGGCCUGGGAGGGUGACCGGCCACAGUGGGACGGGGAUACGGCCCCGAGUCCGACGGGAGGGAGCAGUGGGAAAUACUGCGGCAUGGGCGGAAGCCUGAUGCAGCAACGCCGGGUGCGGGAUGACGGCCUGCGGCGUGUAAGCCGCGUUGGCCUGUGGGGAAGCGUGAGGGAGGGUAAUGGGUAAAGAAGCACCGGCUAACUCCGGG